GUGGGGAAUCUUCCGCAAUGGACGAAAGUCUGACGGAGCAACGCCGCGUGAGUGAUGAAGGUCUUCGGAUUGUAAAGCUCUGUUAAUCGGGACGAAAGAGCCUAGUAUGAAUAAUGCUAGGAAGUGACGGUACCGGAAUAGAAAGCCACGGCUAACUACGUGCCAGCAGCCGCGGUAAUACGUAGGUGGCAAGCGUUGUCCGGCAUUAUUGGGCGUAAAGCGCGCGCAGGCGGAUCUGCCAGUCUGUCUUAAAAGUUCGGGGCUUAACCCCGUGGUGGUAUGGAAACUAUCUUUCUUGAGUGCAGGAGAGGAAAGUGGAAUUCCUAGUGUAGCGGUGAAAUGCGUAGAUAUUAGGAAGAACACCAGUGGCGAAGGCGACUUUCUGGACGAAAACUGACGCUGAGGCGCGAAAGCCAGGGGAGCGAACGGGAUUAGAAACCCGGGUAGUCC
rnacentral:rRNA from 1 species